GAGGAAAAGAAACCAACAGGGAUUGCCUCAGUAACGGCGAGUGAAGCGGCAAGAGCUCAAAUUUGAAAGCUGGCCCCCUCGGGGUCCGCAUUGUAAUUUGCAGAGGAUGCUUCGGGAGUGGCCCCCAUCUAAGUGCCCUGGAACGGGCCGUCAUAGAGGGUGAGAAUCCCGUCUGGGAUGGGGUGCCCACGCCCGUGUGAAGCUCCUUCGACGAGUCGAGUUGUUUGGGAAUGCAGCUCUAAAUGGGUGGUAAAUUUCAUCUAAAGCUAAAUACUGGCCGGAGACCGAUAGCGCACAAGUAGAGUGAUCGAAAGAUGAAAAGCACUUUGAAAAGAGAGUUAAACAGCACGUGAAAUUGUUGAAAGGGAAGCGCUUGCGACCAGACUCGCCUGUAGGGUUCAGCCGGCAUUCGUGCCGGUGUACUUCCCUGCGGGCGGGCCAGCGUCGGUUUGGGCGGCCGGUCAAAGGCCCUUGGAAUGUAACGCCCCCCGGGGCGUCUUAUAGCCAAGGGUGCCAUGCGGCCAGCCCGGACCGAGGAACGCGCUUCGGCUCGGACGCUGGCAUAAUGGUCGUAAGCGACCC
rnacentral:rRNA from 1 species